rnacentral:rRNA from 1 species
UUUAAUGAGAGUUUGAUCCUGGCUCAGGACGAACGCUGGCGGCGUGCCUAAUACAUGCAAGUAGAACGCUGAGGUUUGGUGUUUACACUAGACUGAUGAGUUGCGAACGGGUGAGUAACGCGUAGGUAACCUGCCUCAUAGCGGGGGAUAACUAUUGGAAACGAUAGCUAAUACCGCAUAAGAGUAAUUAACACAUGUUAGUUAUUUAAAAGGAGCAAUUGCUUCACUGUGAGAUGGACCUGCGUUGUAUUAGCUAGUUGGUGAGGUAAAGGCUCACCAAGGCGACGAUACAUAGCCGACCUGAGAGGGUGAUCGGCCACACUGGGACUGAGACACGGCCCAGACUCCUACGGGAGGCAGCAGUAGGGAAUCUUCGGCAAUGGACGGAAGUCUGACCGAGCAACGCCGCGUGAGUGAAGAAGGUUUUCGGAUCGUAAAGCUCUGUUGUUAGAGAAGAACGUUGGUAGGAGUGGAAAAUCUACCAAGUGACGGUAACUAACCAGAAAGGGACGGCUAACUACGUGCCAGCAGCCGCGGUAAUACGUAGGUCCCGAGCGUUGUCCGGAUUUAUUGGGCGUAAAGCGAGCGCAGGCGGUUCUUUAAGUCUGAAGUUAAAGGCAGUGGCUUAACCAUUGUACGCUUUGGAAACUGGAGGACUUGAGUGCAGAAGGGGAGAGUGGAAUUCCAUGUGUAGCGGUGAAAUGCGUAGAUAUAUGGAGGAACACCGGUGGCGAAAGCGGCUCUCUGGUCUGUAACUGACGCUGAGGCUCGAAAGCGUGGGGAGCAAACAGGAUUAGAUACCCUGGUAGUCCACGCCGUAAACGAUGAGUGCUAGGUGUUAGGCCCUUUCCGGGGCUUAGUGCCGCAGCUAACGCAUUAAGCACUCCGCCUGGGGAGUACGACCGCAAGGUUGAAACUCAAAGGAAUUGACGGGGGCCCGCACAAGCGGUGGAGCAUGUGGUUUAAUUC